ACAUCUAGUACUAUCCCCAAGGUUUGGAAGGAGGUCCCGGUACUCCCCCUAACGAUUAUAUCUAGUACUGUCCCCAAGGUUUGGAAGGAGGCCCAGGUACUCCCCCUAACGAUUAUAUCUAGUACUAUCCCCAAGGUUUGGAAGGAGGCCCAGGUACUCCCCCUAACGAUUAUAUCUAGUACUAUCCCCAAGGUUUGGAAGGAGGCCCAGGUACUCCCCCUAACCUGACGAUUAUAUCUAGUACUAUCCCCAAGGUUUGGAAGGAGGCCCAGGUACUCCCCCUAACGAUUAUAUCUAGUACUAUCCCCAAGGUUUGGAAGGAGGCCCAGGUACUCCCCCUAACGAUUAUAUCUAGUACUAUCCCCAAGGUUUGGAAGGAGGCCCAGGUACUCCCCCUAACGAUUAUAUCUAGUACUAUCCCCAAGGUUUGGAAGGAGGCCCAGGUACUCCCCCUAACCUGACGAUUAUAUCUAGUACUAUCCCCAAGGUUUGGAAGGAGGUCCCGGUACUCCCCCUAACGAUUAUAUCUAGUACUAUCCCCAAGGUUUGGAAGGAGGUCCCGGUACUCCCCCUAACGAUUAUAUCUAGUACUAUCCCCAAGGUUUGGAAGGAGGCCCAGGUACUCCCCCUAACGAUUAUAUCUAGUACUAUCCCCAAGGUUUGGAAGGAGGUCCCGGUACUCCCCCUAACGAUUAUAUCUAGUACUGUCCCCAAGGUUUGGAAGGAGGCCCAGGUACUCCCCCUAACGAUUAUAUCUAGUACUAUCCCCAAGGUUUGGAAGGAGGUCCCGGUACUCCCCCUAACGAUUAUAUCUAGUACUGUCCCCAAGGUUUGGAAGGAGGCCCAGGUACUCCCCCUAACGAUUAUAUCUAGUACUAUCCCCAAGGUUUGGAAGGAGGUCCCGGUACUCCCCCUAACGAUUAUAUCUAGUACUAUCCCCAAGGUUUGGAAGGAGGCCCAGGUACUCCCCCUAACGAUUAUAUCUAGUACUGUCCCCAAGGUUUGGAAGGAGUCCCAGGUACUCCCCCUAACGAUUAUAUCUAGUACUAUCCCCAAGGUUUGGAAGGAGGCCCAGGUACUCCCCCUAACGAUUAUAUCUAGUACUAUCCCCAAGGUUUGGAAGGAGACCCAGGUACUCCCCCUAACGAUUAUAUCUAGUACUAUCCCCAAGGUUUGGAAGGAGGCCCAGGUACUCCCCCUAACGAUUAUAUCUAGUACUAUCCCCAAGGUUUGGAAGGAGGUCCCGGUACUCCCCCUAACGAUUAUAUCUAGUACUAUCCCCAAGGUUUGGAAGGAGGCCAGGUACUCCCCCUAACGAUUAUAUCUAGUACUAUCCCCAAGGUUUGGAAGGAGGCCCAGGUACUCCCCCUAACGAUUAUAUCUAGUACUAUCCCCAAGGUUUGGAAGGAGGCCCAGGUACUCCCCCUAACGAUUAUAUCUAGUACUGUCCCCAAGGUUUGGAAGGAGGCCCAGGUACUCCCCCUAACGAUUAUAUCUAGUACUAUCCCCAAGGUUUGGAAGGAGGCCCAGGUACUCCCCCUAACGAUUAUAUCUAGUACCAUCCCUAAACAAAUGGCAACAUCAUCCAUGUGAACUCGGCUGCUACUUUACUUACAGGCGACAGUGUUCGUACUCAUCACUACAUUCACUGCCAGAAAGUUGAUUGUCCCUCUUUGAUUUCAUGUAGAUUGAUAGCAAUGCAUGUUAAAUAUUUUAACAAUAAGUGUGUACCUAACAUCACUACUAAGCUUUAGACAUACGAGUCACCACUUUUAGUAACAAUUUUCAAAAUGUUCUGAAAUGUGAUGUGCUGGUGCCUCUUGGGUAAUUCAGGGAGCUGAUUGAGGAUCUUAUUACUGAUGAAUGUGAUGUCCUGGUGCCUCUUGGGUAAUUCAGGAAGCUGAGGAUCUUAUUACUGAUGAAUGUGAUGUCCUGGUGCCUCUUGGGUAAUUCAGGGAGCUGAUUGAGGAUCUUGUUACUGAUGAAUGUGAUGUCCUGGUGCCUCUUGGGUAAUUCAGACAGCUGAUUGAGGAUCUUAUUACUGAUGAAUGUGAUGUCCUGGUGCCUCUUGGGUAAUUCAGGAAGCUGAUUGAGGAUCUUAUUACUGAUGAAUGUGAUGUUCUGGUGCCUCUUGGGUAAUUCAGACAGCUGAUUGAGGAUCUUAUUACUGAUGAAUGUGAUGUUCUGGUGCCUCUUGGGUAAUUCAGGAAGCUGAUUGAGGAUCUUAUUACUGAUGAAUGUGAUGUUCUGGUGCCUCUUGGGUAAUUCAGACAGCUGAUUGAGGAUCUUGUUACUGAUGAAUGUGAUGUCCUGGUGCCUCUUGGGUAAUUCAGACAGCUGAUUGAGGAUCUUGUUACUGAUGAAUGUGAUGUUCUGGUGCCUCUUGGGUAAUUCAGACAGCUGAUUGAGGAUCUUAUUACUGAUGAAUGUGAUGUUCUGGUGCCUCUUGGGUAAUUCAGACAGCUGAUUGAGGAUCUUAUUACUGAUGAAUGUGAUGUUCUGGUGCCUCUUGGGUAAUUCAGGAAGCUGAUUGAGGAUCUUAUUACUGAUGAAUGUGAUGUCCUGGUGCCUCUUGGGUAAUUCAGACAGCUGAUUGAGGAUCUUAUUACUGAUGAAUGUGAUGUCCUGGUGCCUCUUGGGUAAUUCAGGAAGCUGAUUGAGGAUCUUAUUACUGAUGAACGUGUUUUAUUUAUCUUGGUGCAUUUUGUAUUUUUUUUAAUUUCUGUAAUUCAUCUGUAAAAAGAGACCUUGGUCUCAGUUUGAAUCCCUGAAAAAAAUAAAAGGUUAAAUAAAAAAUAAAUGUACAAA